UCUUCAUCAAGCUUUCAGGAACUCAUUCAGGUGGGGUCUGAAGAUUCUGUGAAGAUUUCAGAUAAAAAUGAACUUCAAAUGGAUCUGGCUGGUGGCCAUUCUCCUGAUCGUAGGAUUGGCUAGUGUGGCAGAUGCCAGGCGUGGCGGGGGCCGAGGUGGUCGAGGUGGUCGAGGUGGUCGAGGAGGUCGAGGCGGAGGAGGCCGAGGUGGCUUUCGCCAUGGCUUUCGCCGAGGCUGGAACUGGGGCCGAGGCUGAGGAGCAAAGUAGAACGAAAUGAAGGCACAGACCAGGAACGUCCAACAACGGCAUCCCUCCAAGACAAAAACAGAAUACAAAAUGCUGCAGUCGCUUUCAACAUUUCCUGUUCUCUACCCCAAUUUUCUGCUUCUUUCCUUGCCAGGGAGGUCAGUCCACAUCUGUCUGCACACAACUGCAAAUCAUCUUCCCCAAGAGCUAUAAACCAGGCAUAGGCAAACUCAGCCCUCCAGAUGUUUUGGGACUACAACUCCGAACAUCCCUAGCUAACAGGGCCAGUGGUCAGGGAUGAUGGGAGGUGUAGUCCCAAAACAUCUGGAGGGCCGAGUCUGCCUAUGCCUGCUAUAAACGUAGCUAAUUAGUCUCAGAUCCAUAGUAUUUUUUUUUGCCAACCUUUGCUAUUACUCUUGAGAAUGUAGAAAUGCAUUUUAUUUCCCCCUGUUUGCAUUAUCUUUAUGAAACCUUCUUGCACAUUCAGCAUAUUAAAG